CCUCGGACCUGCCCCGGCACUUGUUUCUGCCUCUCUCUCAUCCACGAACUAAUCUUAGCAUCUCUGGACUUGGCAGAGACAACAGCAGCGAACGUCUAGCCCGGUUUGUACCAGGCGACAAGACUCAAGCCAUCGUGUAGGAGGGAGCUGAGGCCUGGUGCAGACUUGCCUAAGCUCUCACAGCCUUUGCCUUCCUCAACCUGCUCUACUUGUCUGUGGCCUUUCGGCACUCUCCUUGACCUACCUAAAGACCAAAUCAAGAAGAGAGGAAGAGACAGCAGAGCAGACAGAGCACCCAGAACCACCCCAGCUCCGGGAAGGUGGGAU
rnacentral:lncRNA from 1 species